UUAUUGUAAUAUUUUUUAUGACCCCCGCUUUAAAGUCUUCUAAAGUAAUCGUGUUUAAAAUAAACAAAAAUUGGAAUGGCAAUUUAAAUAGUAUAGUUCCUAUGUGUAGGGACAGUGCCACUCUGCACGUUAAAGAACCCUUGCCACAAGUCUUUGAGGGGUCAGUAGGUGGCCUGUUGCAAGGCUUAAUUUCUGUCCAACAUAUCCUCCUCUCAGUUGGCAGUCAAAAUUUCCCUUACCUUCAUCAUCGGCCCACUUUAUAGAACCUACAAAUUGAUUUGUUAUGAAAUGAAGAGAUGCGAGACAUUACUAUUCUACAGAGACCAAAUGAUGUUGCAUGUUACUGUAUGGACUUCAACAAUGAGAAAAUUAAACAACAUUAAAAUUUUGCAAUAUUCUGAAUUAGAAUGACUUUGUUAAUACCUGUAACCUUAAACAUCUGAUAUUUUUAUUAUCUAGAGCUCUGUAAAAAAAUAUAAAAAAAAAAUAUAAAAAAUGAAAAUACCAAAAAAUGAUAUGAAAACAAAACUGUUUGUAAACAGAGUUCUAGAUAAUAAACAUUGAGGGUGGUGUAAAAGGUGGGAUUAUUGUAAUAUUUUUUAUGACCCCCGCCUUAAAGUCUUCUAACCCCCAAGGGUGACUGGGGAAUAGAAGUAUGGUCACCAUUGGUCUUCCUCCGACCGGCAGUAAAACCCUUGCUAAAGUGGGGCGUCCGUUUGGCUGUGCGGGAUAUUCAAAUUUACAGCCACGUCCGGUAAGAAUGAAGACUUUAAAUCCUAUGCCUCAUGUAAAGAGAGUGCCUCGCUCUUUGCACGUUAAGAACCCUUGCAACAACUCUUUGAGGGGUCCGUAGGUGACCUGUUGCAAAUCUAAAUUUCUGUUCCUAUCCAAUAUAACUUCAUUUCCCGUGGCAGUCUAAAUUUCUCUGACCUUAAUCCAGGAAGCCCCUAUUACAGAACCUACCUAUUGUACUUAUUGUUAACUUGUUCUUGUCCUGAAUAUGUAUGAAAUAUUUGCCACUGGAUGUUAAGCAACCAACAAUCAACAACAAUCAAUUAAAGUCUUCUAAAGUUAUCAUGUUUAAAACAAACAAAAAUUGGAAUGGCAAUUUAGAAAGUAUAGUUUCUAUGUGUAGGGACAGUGCCACUCUGCAUGUUAAAGAACCCUUGCCACAAGUCUUUGAGGGGUCAGUAGGUGGCCUGUUGCAAGGCUUAAUUUCUGUCCAACAUAUCCUCCUCUCAGUUGGCAGUCAAAAUUUCCCUUACCUUCAUCAUCGGCCCACUUUAUAGAACCUACAAAUUGAUUUGUUAUGAAAAGAAGAGAUGUGAGACAUUACUGUCCUACAGAGACCAAAUGAUGUUGAUGUAAAAUAGGUUACUGUAUGGACUUCAACAAAUUGAGAAAAUCAACUAACAUUAAAAUUUUGCAAUAUUCUGAAUUAGAAUGACUUUGUUAAUACCUGUAACCUUAAACAUCUGAUAUUUUUAUAAUCAAGAGCUCUGUAAAAAAAUAUAAAAAAAAAAUAUAAAAAAUGAAAAUACCAAAAAAUGAUAUGAAAACAAAACUCUGUAAAAAAAUAUAAAAAAAAAAUAUAAAAAAUGAAAAUACCAAAAAAUGAUAUGAAAACAAAACUGUUUGUAAAGAGAGUUCUAGAUAAUAAACAUUGAGGGUGGUGUAAAAGGUGGGAUUAUUGUAAUAUUUUUUAUGACCCCCGCCUUAAAGUCUUCUAACCCCCAAGGGUGACUGGGGAAUAGAAGUAUGGUCACCAUUGGUCUUCCUCCGACCGGCAGUAAAACCCUUGCUAAAGUGGGGCGUCCGUUUGGCUGUGCGGGAUAUUCAAAUUUACAGCCACGUCCGGUAAGAAUGAGGACUUUAAAUCCUAUGCCUCAUGUAAAGAGAGUGCCUCGCUCUUUGCACGUUAAGAACCCUUGCAACAACUCUUUGAGGGGUCCGUAGGUGGCCUGUUGCAAGGCUUAAUUUCUGUCCAACAUAUCCUCCUCUCAGUUGGCAGUCAAAAUUUCCCUUACCUUCAUCAUCGGCCCACUUUAUAGAACCUACAAAUUGAUUUGUUAUGAAAAGAAGAGAUGUGAGACAUUACUGUCCUACAGAGACCAAAUGAUGUUGAUGUAAAAUAGGUUACUGUAUGGACUUCAACAAAUUGAGAAAAUCAACUAACAUUAAAAUUUUGCAAUAUUCUGAAUUAGAAUGACUUUGUUAAUACCUGUAACCUUAAACAUCUGAUAUUUUUAUAAUCAAGAGCUCUGUAAAAAAAUAUAAAAAAAAAAUAUAAAAAAUGAAAAUACCAAAAAAUGAUAUGAAAACAAAACUCUGUAAAAAAAUAUAAAAAAAAAAUAUAAAAAAUGAAAAUACCAAAAAAUGAUAUGAAAACAAAACUCUGUAAAAAAAUAUAAAAAAAAAAUAUAAAAAAUGAAAAUACCAAAAAAUGAUAUGAAAACAAAACUGUUUGUAAAGAGAGUUCUAGAUAAUAAACAUUGAGGGUGGUGUAAAAGGUGGGAUUAUUGUAAUAUUUUUUAUGACCCCCGCCUUAAAGUCUUCUAACCCCCAAGGGUGACUGGGGAAUAGAAGUAUGGUCACCAUUGGUCUUCCUCCGACCGGCAGUAAAACCCUUGCUAAAGUGGGGCGUCCGUUUGGCUGUGCGGGAUAUUCAAAUUUACAGCCACGUCCGGUAAGAAUGAGGACUUUAAAUCCUAUGCCUCAUGUAAAGAGAGUGCCUCGCUCUUUGCACGUUAAGAACCCUUGCAACAACUCUUUGAGGGGUCCGUAGGUGACCUGUUGCAAAUCUAAAUUUCUGUUCCUAUCCAAUAUAACUUCAUUUCCCGUGGCAGUCUAAAUUUCUCUGACCUUAAUCCAGGAAGCCCCUAUUACAGAACCUACCUAUUGUACUUAUUGUUAACUUGUUCUUGUCCUGAAUAUGUAUGAAAUAUUUGCCACUGGAUGUUAAGCAACCAACUAUCAACAACAAUCAAUUAAAGUCUUCUAAAGUUAUCAUGUUUAAAACAAACAAAAAUUGGAAUGGCAAUUUAGAAAGAAUAGUUUCUAUGUGUAGGGACAGUGCCACUCUGCAUGUUAAAGAACCCUUGCCACAAGUCUUUGAGGGGUCAGUAGGUGGCCUGUUGCAAGGCUUAAUUUCUGUCCAACAUAUCCUUCUCUCAGUUGGCAGUCAAAAUUUCCCUUACCUUCAUCAUCGGCCCACUUUAUAGAACCUACAAAUUGAUUUGUUAUGAAAAGAAGAGAUGUGAGACAUUACUGUCCUACAGAGACCAAAUGAUGUUGAUGUAAAAUAGGUUACUGUAUGGACUUCAACAAUGAGAAAAUCAACCAACAUUAAAAUUUUGCAAUAUUCUGAAUUAGAAUGACUUUGUUAAUACCUGUAACCUUAAACAUCUGAUAUUUUUAUUAUCAAGAGCUCUGUAAAAAAAUAUAAAAAAUGAAAAUACCAAAAAAUGAUAUGAAAACAAAACUCUGUAAAAAAAUAUAAAAAAAAAAUAUAAAAAAUGAAAAUACCAAAAAAUGAUAUGAAAACAAAACUGUUUGUAAAGAGAGUUCUAGAUAAUAAACAUUGAGGGUGGUGUAAAAGGUGGGAUUAUUGUAAUAUUUUUUAUGACCCCCGCCUUAAAGUCUUCUAACCCCCAAGGGUGACUGGGGAAUAGAAGUAUGGUCACCAUUGGUCUUCCUCCGACCGGCAGUAAAACCCUUGCUAAAGUGGGGCGUCCGUUUGGCUGUGAGGGAUAUUCAAAUUUACAGCCACGUCCGGUAAGAAUGAGGACUUUAAAUCCUAUGCCUCAUGUAAAGAGAGUGCCUCGCUCUUUGCACGUUAAGAACCCUUGCAACAACUCUUUGAGGGGUCCGUAGGUGACCUGUUGCAAAUCUAAAUUUCUGUUCCUAUCCAAUAUAACUUCAUUUCCCGUGGCAGUCUAAAUUUCUCUGACCUUAAUCCAGGAAGCCCCUAUUACAGAACCUACCUAUUGUACUUAUUGUUAACUUGUUCUUGUCCUGAAUAUGUAUGAAAUAUUUGCCACUGGAUGUUAAGCAACCAACAAUCAACAACAAUCAAUUAAAGUCUUCUAAAGUUAUCAUGUUUAAAACAAACAAAAAUUGGAAUGGCAAUUUAGAAAGUAUAGUUUCUAUGUGUAGGGACAGUGCCACUCUGCAUGUUAAAGAACCCUUGCCACAAGUCUUUGAGGGGGUCAGUAGGUGGCCUGUUGCAAGGCUUAAUUUCUGGCCAACAUAUCGUCUUCUCAGUUGGCAGUCAAAAUUUCCCUUACCUUCGUCAUCGGCCCACUUUAUAGAACCUACAAAUUGAUUUGUUAUGAAAUGAAGAGAUGCCAGACAACUAUCCUACAGAGACCAAAUGAUGUUGAUGUAAAAUAGGUUACUGUAUGGACUUCAACAAAUUGAGAAAAUCAACUAACAUUAAAAUUUUGCAAUAUUCUGAAUUAGAACGACUUUGUUAAUACCUGUAACCUUAAACAUCUGAUAUUUUUAUUAUCUAGAGCUCUGUAAAAAAAUAUAAAAAAAAAAUAUAAAAAAUGAAAAUACCAAAAAAUGAUAUGAAAACAAAACUGUUUGUAAAGAGAGUUCUAGAUAAUAAACAUUGAGGGUGGUGUAAAAGGUGGGAUUAUUGUAAUAUUUUUUAUGACCCCGCCUUAAAGUCUUCUAAAAUUAUCAUUUUUAAAACAAAAAAAAAAUUGGAAUGGCAAUUUAAAAAGUAUAUAGUUCCUAUGUGUAGGGACAGUGCCACUCUGCAUGUUAAAGAACCCUUGCCACAAGUCUUUGAGGGGGUCAGUAGGUGGCCUGUUGCAAGGCUUAAUUUCUGCCCAACAUAUCGUUCUCUCAGUUGGGAGUCAAAAUUUCCCUUACCUUCAUCAUCGGCCCACUUUAUAGAACCUACAAAUUGAUUUGUUAUGAAAAGAAGAGAUGUGAGACAUUACUGUCCUACAGAGACCAAAUGAUGUUGAUGUAAAAUAGGUUACUGUAUGGACUUCAACAAAUUGAGAAAAUCAACUAACAUUAAAAUUUUGCAAUAUUCUGAAUUAGAAUGACUUUGUUAAUACCUGUAACCUUAAACAUCUGAUAUUUUUAUUAUCUAGAGCUCUGUAAAAAAAUAUAAAAAAAAAAUAUAAAAAAUGAAAAUACCAAAAAAUGAUAUGAAAACAAAACUCUGUAAAAAAAUAUAAAAAAAAAAUAUAAAAAAUGAAAAUACCAAAAAAUGAUAUGAAAACAAAACUGUUUGUAAAGAGAGUUCUAGAUAAUAAACAUUGAGGGUGGUGUAAAAGGUGGGAUUAUUGUAAUAUUUUUUAUGACCUCCGCCUUAAAGUCUUCUAAAGUUAUCAUUUUUAAAACAAACAAAAAAUUGGAAUGGCAAUUUAAAAAGUAUAUAGUUCCUAUGUGUAGGGACAGUGCCACUCUGCAUGUUAAAGAACCCUUGCCACAAGUCUUUGAGGGGUCAGUAGGUGGCCUGUUGCAAGGCUUAAUUUCUGGCCAACAUAUCUUCUCAGUUGGCAGUCAAAAUUUCCCUUACCUUCGUCAUCGGCCCACUUUAUAGAACCUACAAAUUGAUUUGUUAUGAAAUGAAGAGAUGCGAGACAACUAUCCUACAGAGACCAAAUGAUGUUGAUGUAAAAUAGGUUACUGUAUGGACUUCAACAAUGAGAAAAUCAACUAACAUUAAAAUUUUGCAAUAUUCUGAAUUAGAAUGACUUUGUUAAUACCUGUAACCUUAAACAUCUGAUAUUUUUAUUAUCUAGAGCUCUGUAAAAAAAUAUAAAAAAAAAAUAUAAAAAAUGAAAAUACCAAAAAAUGAUAUGAAAACAAAACUGUUUGUUAACAGAGUUCUAGAUAAUAAACAUUGAGGGUGGUGUAAAAGGUGGGAUUAUUGUAAUAUUUUUUAUGACCCCCGCCUUAAAGUCUUCUAAAGUUAUCAUUUUUAAAACAAACAAAAAAUUGGAAUGGCAAUUUAAAAAGUAUAUAGUUCCUAUGUGUAGGGACAGUGCCACUCUGCAUGUUAAAGAACCCUUGCCACAAGUCUUUGAGGGGUCAGUAGGUGGCCUGUUGCAAGGCUUAAUUUCUGGCCAACAUAUCCUCCUCUCAGUUGGCAGUCAAAAUUUCCCUUACCUUCGUCAUCGGCCCACUUUAUAGAACCUACAAAUUGAUUUGUUAUGAAAUGAAGAGAUGCCAGACAACUAUCCUACAGAGACCAAAUGAUGUUGAUGUAAAAUAGGUUACUGUAUGGACUUCAACAAUGAGAAAAUCAACUAACAUUAAAAUUUUGCAAUAUUCUGAAUUAGAAUGACUUUGUUAAUACCUGUAACCUUAAACAUCUGAUAUUUUUAUUAUCUAGAGCUCUGUAAAAAAAUAUAAAAAAAAAAUAUAAAAAAUGAAAAUACCAAAAAAUGAUAUGAAAACAAAACUGUUUGUUAACAGAGUUCUAGAUAAUAAACAUUGAGGGUGGUGUAAAAGGUGGGAUUAUUGUAAUAUUUUUUAUGACCCCCGCCUUAAAGUCUUCUAAAGUUAUCAUUUUUAAAACAAACAAAAAAUUGGAAUGGCAAUUUAAAAAGUAUAUAGUUCCUAUGUGUAGGGACAGUGCCACUCUGCAUGUUAAAGAACCCUUGCCACAAGUCUUUGAGGGGUCAGUAGGUGGCCUGUUGCAAGGCUUAAUUUCUGGCCAACAUAUCCUCCUCUCAGUUGGCAGUCAAAAUUUCCCUUACCUUCGUCAUCGGCCCACUUUAUAGAACCUACAAAUUGAUUUGUUAUGAAAUGAAGAGAUGCCAGACAACUAUCCUACAGAGACCAAAUGAUGUUGAUGUAAAAUAGGUUACUGUAUGGACUUCAACAAAUUGAGAAAAUCAACUAACAUUAAAAUUUUGCAAUAUUCUGAAUUAAAAUGACUUUGUUAAUACCUGUUACCUUAAACAUCUGAUAUUUUUAUUAUCUAGAGCUCUGUAAAAAAAUAUAAAAAAAAAAUAUAAAAAAUGAAAAUACCAAAAAAUGAUAUGAAAACAAAACUGUUUGUAAAGAGAGUUCUAGAUAAUAAACAUUGAGGGUGGUGUAAAAGGUGGGAUUAUUGUAAUAUUUUUUAUGACCCUGCCUUAAAGUCUUCUAAAAUUAUCAUUUUUAAAACAAACAAAAAAUUGGAAUGGCAAUUUAAAAAGUAUAUAGUUCCUAUGUGUAGGGACAGUGCCACUCUGCAUGUUAAAGAACCCUUGCCACAAGUCUUUGAGGGGUCAGUAGGUGGCCUGUUGCAAGGCUUAAUUUCUGGCCAACAUAUCCUCCUCUCAGUUGGCAGUCAAAAUUUCCCUUACCUUCAUCAUCGGCCCACUUUAUAGAACCUACAAAUUGAUUUGUUAUGAAAAGAAGAGAUGUGAGACAUUACUAUCCUACAUACAGAGACCAAAUGAUGUUGAUGUAAAAUAGGUUACUGUAUGGACUUCAACAAAUUGAGAAAAUCAACUAACAUUUAAAUUUUGCAAUAUUCUGAUUUAGAAUGUCUUUGCCUCUAACCUUUAAAAUCUGAUAUUUUUAUUAUUUAGAGCUCUGUAAAAAAAAGAAAAUACCAAAAAAUAAUAUGAAAACAAAAUUGUUUGUAAACAGAGUUCUAGAUAAUAAACAUUGAGGAUGUUGUAAAAAGCAGGCAUAUUUAAAAUUUUGUUUAUUAUUAUGAAUAGUGCACUGUAUAAUUUGUAAAAAUGUUUAUUGUGAAGUCUUCGAAAAUUGUGAAACUUUAGAACUGUGUUUAUUUGAGAUGUCUAUAUUCAGUCUUCAAUGAUUGUCAUGGCAAUUGAGGACAAUAGAAUAUAGCUCUGUGUAGAAACUGACUUUUUUAUAUCGAGAAAGAUCCAACAAAAGUUUUCAAUGAUAUCUAAAGAGACGAAAGACAGAAAUACUAAAAGGUUUCCUAUGAGAUUGGUGGAUUAUGUACAGUCGGACAACUGGCACACUCAUGCUAAAAGUUAAAUAGCUAUUAAAAUAAAAUUAUGUACUUGUAUAAUAACAUUAAUGAAGACAGAUGUUCUAUAGUGAAAACAUGUUCCUACAUAAUGUUGUAUAGUGAAGACAUGUUCAUACAUAAUGUUGUAUAGUGAAGAAGUAUUCCUACAUAAUGUUCUAUAGUGAAGACAUGUUCCUACAUAAUGUUCUAUAGUGAAGACACGUUCCUACAUAUUGUUCUAUAGUGAAGACAUGUUCCUACAUAAUGUUCUAUAGUGAAGACAUGUUCCUACAUAAUGUUCUAUAGUGAAGACAUAUGUUCUAUAGCACAAACAGAUGUUCCUAAGUUGCAAUGAAGUGUUCAGAAGACAGACAGCGUUUCCUUUUGCAAUGAAAUUAUCCAGAACACAUAGUUGAUUAGAUUUCCAGUUCAUUACAUAUUCUGACGUUUUCUCAAGAAAAACACAAGAUUUCAAUGUUCAACCUGAAAGGAGAAAUUCUUAAAAUUUAUGCUGGACAUCUCAUAUCAAGGAUCCAUCACAAUAUUGAUAUUAGACUUAUGAAGAAUAUUCUGAUAAAUUAAUGAUGUACGACAAAUCGUGCUACAAGUAUCAUACCAGCAAAAUUAUUUGAUGGGAGUAAAACAUAGGAGCAGGAUCUCACCUCAUACAAGUGAGGAGGAACAGUUGAACUGAUGAACUUUGAACUGAUGAACUUGGAACCAUCUACUGAUGAACUUGGAAACAUCUGAAAGGAAUACACAAGAAAAACAGACCACAUAGAAUAAGGAAAGAGAAAGAUUGACUCAACUGAUGAACUUAUAACAAGCUUAACAGAUUAUCAGCAUAGUUGAACAAUGAACACUUCAGAGACAAAAUAUUCUUGGCAAUGAAAAUAUAUGACUGAAAUUUCAUAAUUGUAUAUGGUCAGUGGGAGAGAGAGAAAGAUGUAGAAUGGUCAGAGUGGGAGAGGGAGAACACUUAUGAUUAUGAGUGGGGAGAAAAAUAGAACAAUUAUUACAACCGGUAAAUUUGUCUUCAACCAAACUCAUGGCUUGUGUUGAACCUUAGACAUCUGAUAUUUUUAUUAUCUAGAGCUCUGUUUAAAAAAAAUGUAAAAAAUAAUAUGAAAACAAAAUUUAAACAGUUCUAGAUAAUAAACAUUAAGGGUGGUGUAAAAAGUGGGCAUAUUUUAAAUUUUUCUUUUUUUCACCAAUGUAUUUAUGAAAUUUAAAACUUUAAAGUCAGAAUGUUUAAUUGGACGUACAAUUGUUUUGAUUUUAGAUAUUUGGUGACAAAACCUAUUCUUCUUCAUUUAUUACACUCUAAAAGUGUCAUUAAUUUGCAAUAUUCUUAAUUUAAUUGUCUUUGCUUAUACCUCUAACCUCAGACAUCCAAUAUUUUUAUUAUCUAGAGCUCUGUAAAAAAAAAAAAAAUUGUAAAUAGAGUUCUAGAUAAUAAACAUUAAGGGUGGUGUAAAAAGUGGUUAUAUAUUUUAUAUUUUGAAUUCUCCCCCUCCCCAAUAUAUUUACAAAAUUAAAUACAAGAGAUAUUUAUUAGUAAAUGAUUUGUGUUGGAUAAGUUUUUUCCUUUCAUUAGUUUAUUUUAAAAAAUGUUUUUUUCAAGCUGUACAUUUUUCUUGGGUAUUGAAAAUGGCUUUGAAGCUAAUAUGUUUAAUUGAAUUUUUUUAUUAUUAGAUAUUGGACACAAAACCUAUCUUCUCUGUAUAUUUCACCUUAACAGUGUCUUAGAUUUGCAAUGUCUUUGCUUAUACCUCUAACCUUAGACAUCCAAUAUUUUUAUUAUCUAGAGCUCUAAAAAAAAAAAAAAAAAAAAUAAUAUGAAAACAAAAUUGCAGAGUUCUAGAUAAUAAACAUAAGGGUGGUGUAAAAAGUGGGUAUAUUUUGAAAUCUUAAAUGGCCUUAAAGUUUGAAUGUUUAAAUGGAAGUAGAAUUCUUUCAAUUUUAGAUGUUUUGAGAUAAAACCUAUCAUCUCGGUAUAUAUUUAUACUGUGUAUAACAGUGUCUUAAAUUCUGCAAUAUUGUGAUUUUGAAUGUCUUUGUUAACUCUUUAAACUUUUAACAUUUGAAUUCCAUUCAGUAUUAAAAUAAUAUGUGAUGCAAA